AGGCACUGUCUAUGACGAUUUAUGUGGAUUUACUGGCUCAAAGCUUUUUUCAUAAUUAGAAAGCCUUUCACUGCUGCCAAACAUGUUUCUUGGUGAUACUGAGUGCUCAGAAGUGCAAAUGGAUCUGAAAAAGCACAAGGGCGCAUCUCCUAGUAUGUGGAAGGGUUAACUUGGCUUCCUCUCUUCAUUCCUUCUACAUCGCUACAGCACUUAACUGGAGAUGAUCGGAAUCAUUCAGAGACUUCGUGGAUAAAAAGGGACAGCUGUGGAACUUCCACA